rnacentral:rRNA from 1 species
UACGUAGGGUGCAAGCGUUAAUCGGAAUACUGGGCGUAAAGGCGUGCGCAGGCGGUGAUGUAAGACAGUUGUGAAAUCCCCGGGCUCAACCUGGGAACUGCAUCUGUGACUGCAUUGCUGGAGUGCGGCAGAGGGGGAUGGAAUUCCGCGUGUAGCAGUGAAAUGCGUAGAGAUGUGGAGGAACACCGAUGGCGAAGGCAGCCCCCUGGGUCAAGAUUGACGCUCAUGCACGAAGCGUAGGAG